rnacentral:rRNA from 1 species
CGGCGUGCCUAAUACAUGCAAGUCGAGCGGACUUUUUAAAAGCUUGCUUUUAAAAAGUUAGCGGCGGACGGGUGAGUAACACGUGGGCAACCUGCCCUGUAGACUGGGAUAACCUCGGGAAACCGAAGCUAAUACUGGAUAAUCAAUAGAAGCACCUACUUCUAUUGUAAAAGUUGGGAUACUAACACUACAGGAUGGGCCCGCGGCGCAUUAGCUAGUUGGUAAGGUAAUGGCUUACCAAGGCGACGAUGCGUAGCCGACCUGAGAGGGUGAUCGGCCACACUGGGACUGAGACACGGCCCAGACUCCUACGGGAGGCAGCAGUAGGGAAUCUUCCGCAAUGGACGAAAGUCUGACGGAGCAACGCCGCGUGAACGAUGAAGGCCUUCGGGUCGUAAAGUUCUGUUGUUAGGGAAGAACAACGUACCGUUCCGAAUAGGGCGGUACCUUGACGGUACCUAACCAGAAAGCCACGGCUAACUACGUG